rnacentral:rRNA from 1 species
UACGUAGGGUGCGAGCGUUGUCCGGAAUUACUGGGCGUAAAGAGCUCGUAGGUGGUUUGUCGCGUUGUUCGUGAAAUCUCACGGCUUAACUGUGAGCGUGCGGGCGAUACGGGCAGACUAGAGUACUGCAGGGGGAGACUGGAAUUCCUGGUGUAGCGGUGGAAUGCGCAGAUAUCAGGAGGAACACCAGUGGCGAAGGCGGCUCUGGGACGUA